rnacentral:rRNA from 1 species
GCAGCCGCGGUAAUUCCAGCUCCAAUAGCGUAUAUUAAAGUUGUUGCAGUUAAAAAGCUCGUAGUUGAAUUUCGGGAUCAAUGCGUCGGUCGUGCCUUCGGUACGUACUAGCGUCAUUGAUUCCUCCCUUCUGAAGAACCGUGAUGUCAUUAAUUUGGUGUUACGGGGAAUCAGGACUGUUACCUUGAAAAAAUUAGAGUGUUUAAAGCAGGCUAACGCUUGAAUACAUUAGCAUGGAAUAAUGAAAUAGGACGUUCGAACCUAUUUUGUUGGUUUCUAGGAUCGACGUAAUGAUUAAUAGGGAUAGUUGGGGGCAUUAGUAUUCAAUUGUCAGAGGUGAAAUUCUUGGAUUUAUUGAAGACUAACUACUGCGAAAGCAUUUGCCAAGGAUGUUUUCAUUAAUCAAGAACGAAAGUUAGGGGAUCGAAGACGAUCAGAUACCGUCGUAGUCUUAACCAUAAACUAUGCCGACUAGGGAUCGGAUGAUGUUAAUUUUUUAAUGACUCAUUCGGCGCCUUACGGG